GGAUGAACGCUGGCGGCGUGCUUAACACAUGCAAGUCGAACGAGAAGUGAAGACGGAAACCUUCGGGCGGAAGGCUUUAUUUCGAGUGGCGGACGAGUGAGUAACGCGUGGGUAACCUGCCUCAUACAGGGGGAUAACAGUUGGAAACGACUGUUAAUACCGCAUAAGACCACAGCACCGCAUGGUGCGGGGGUAAAAACUCCGGUGGUAUGAGAUGGACCCGCGUUCGAUUAGCCAGUUGGCGGGGUAACGGCCCACCAAAGCGACGAUCGAUAGCCGAUCUGAGAGGAUGACCGGCCACAUUGGGACUGAGACACGGCCCAAACUCCUACGGGAGGCAGCAGUGGGGAAUAUUGCACAAUGGGGGAAACCCUGAUGCAGCGACGCCGCGUGAGUGAAGAAGUAUUUCGGUAUGUAAAGCUCUAUCAGCAGGGAAGAAAAUGACGGUACCUGAGUAAGAAGCCCCGGCUAACUACGUG
rnacentral:rRNA from 1 species